CCUACGGGGGGCUGCAGUGGGGAAUAUUGGACAAUGGGGGGAACCCUGAUCCAGCCAUGCCGCGUGUGUGAAGAAGGCCCUCGGGUUGUAAAGCACUUUCAGUGAGGAAGAACGCCUGUUGGUUAAUACCCAUCAGGAAAGACAUCACUCACAGAAGAAGCACCGGCUAACUCCGUGCCAGCAGCCGCGGUAAUACGGAGGGUGCGAGCGUUAAUCGGAAUUACUGGGCGUAAAGCGCGCGUAGGUGGCUUGAUAAGCCGGUUGUGAAAGCCCCGGGCUCAACCUGGGAACGGCAUCCGGAACUGUCAAGCUAGAGUGCAGGAGAGGAAGGUAGAAUUCCCGGUGUAGCGGUGAAAUGCGUAGAGAUCGGGAGGAAUACCAGUGGCGAAGGCGGCCUUCUGGACUGACACUGACACUGAGGUGCGAAAGCGUGGGUAGCAAACAGGAUUAGAUACCCUAGUAGUC
rnacentral:rRNA from 1 species